GUGGAUGCCACUUGUAUAAUGUUGUAAUAAGAAUAACCUUACUUUAAUAUAUAUAGUAGAUAGUAGAUAAGUAACGCACGUAACGAUUAUGUAUUAUAUACACAUUUACAUGGGCUAAUGAUUUUCUUAUUAAAAAUGGUAGGUGGUUUUCAUUGUUAUGGAGUGCAGCCAGAGCCCCUAAUUGCUCUUACCUAGUAUCGUCCCUCCCAUCCUUUACAAAAAGUAAAGUAACUUAACCAACCUUUGUUUUCAUUUUCAGCGUCUCUUUCACUUUUUUGGUCUCUUUCAAUUCCUUCAUUUUUUUCACCUCCAUUGUGUUCAUAUUCUUCUCGUGCCCGUUCUCCUUUUCCACCUUCUAUAUCCUUUUUCCAUUCUUUACCCCAUCCCCAAAUGUACCCAUGUGGUCCACAAAAAAUGCCAUAAAACCAAUCUAUCUCAAUUCUUGUUUUGGAUUCUUCUAUUACACCAACUGCAAGUCAACAAAGAGUUUUUUUUAUUGAGUACAAUAAAAUAAGAAAGCAAUUGCGCAUACAAAUUAUAGAUAUACUUUGAUUCUCGUCUUUGAAUGGUUCAAUUGCGACAACAUUUAUAAGAACUAGUGCACAAAGAAAUAAUAGGACAAUAAAAGGUUUGAUAUUCAUCCUUGAUAAACUAAAAGUAUUACGAUGAAAUAUGAAUACAAUCAACAACUAUUUAUAACAACCAUCUAAAUAUAUAUAGAAAAUAAGAAUAGAAAGAACUUGAUUAGAUAAUAUAUAUUGUACAAUAAAAAAUAUAAUAUAUUUAUAAGUUAGCUCGUUGUGAGGUUAAUAGUUGUUCUAGUGUAAGGCUUCUUAUUGUUUUUUAUCUUCUCACCUUAAUUUUAGAAUAGUUAGUCACAAGGUGAAUUUAAACUAUUAGAGUAACACAACCGCGAUAGGCAAGGAUGCCUAUCUGGUUUAAGUGAGUCCUUUAUAACUAGGAAUGACUCAAUUACAUUUUGUGUAACUAAACAAA
rnacentral:lncRNA from 1 species